UAGAAGUAAUAGAAGGGCGACUUUUUUUGUUUCGCCUUCGUUGAUCAAUUAUUUUAAAAUAAAAGCAAAACAAAAGAAUUUAACUCCAGAUCCAGAGAAACUCCAGUGCUCACCCAGAAAACUAUUCGUAAGAAUCCCAAAAUUAAAAAACAAAUUCCAGAAUCCCAAAAUGACGGCAAUGAAAUUUAAUUUCCUUAUCUUCAGCUUUCUCUCUCCCUAAAUCUUCAAUUUGGAAGCUCUUUUCUCCCCUAAAUCUCUAAUUUAGCUUUCUCUCUCCCACUCCAUCUUUAAUUUUGCUGGUCAUUAACCCUAAUUUUAUACGUUUUGGUUUGCGAAAUUCGUCUGAAAUUGGUAGAUUCGCCUGAAAUUCGUCUGAAGUUCGCCUGAAAUUCGUCUGAAGUUCCCCUGAAGUUAGUCUGGAGAAAGUACAAUGAAUCCGGAGACUCAAUCAUCGUUAUCGCAAUUAGAAUGUAACAACAGUAAUCACCUUGUAGAGUCUACCACUCAACAACCAAAGAAAAAAAAAUACAAGGUCCCUUUCGAGGUCCACGCAGAGCACUUAAAUAUAAAAAGUUGAGAAGUGUGCAAUCAGGAAAGGUCAAAGUUCGUAUUCCAGCAGCUUUGGGAGCUAUUGUGGGCGAUCGUGCAAAUCAAUUUGUGGCCGAAUGUGCUGAUUGGGUGAAAGAAAUAUGCCCUCUUAAUGUUACAAGUUGGAAUGACAUGCCUGAAGAAGCAAUAGAUCGAUUGUAUAGUAGGAUUAAGGUAUGGCUUACUAAUUCAAGGCUGCUACCAGUACUUUGAUUAUUCUCUCCUUACGCUUUGUCUGGUGUGUGAAAAGCUAGAAAUACAUGGAGAUCUUGACAAUGUCUAGUGGCAACAGAACAACAGAAAAUUAUGUAUACAUCAUAAAUGAAUUGAUGGUGACAAGCUUAAACUAUACUUACGACUGUUUAUCUAAGGAAUGUCAGGAACAUGUCACUAUAAACCUACAGUGUUCGUGGUAUGAAAAGCAGAUGAAGAAGUCAGCUGAGGAGCUAUGAAGAAAACAAGUCAAAAGCUUAUGGAAUGAUUAAAUCGAGAAUCAAGGAAUGUGAAGCUUAGGAAGUCUUAUAAACUCGAAAGGUAUAAGACCAGUGUAGUUCAGAUAUUGCUUAGUAUGGGAACAGAGUAUUUCGUAAAGGUCAAGUUAAGAUUUAUUUAGAUAAAGUCUUAUCUUAAAUCAAAAGUCAUUCGGUUUUGUUUUUCAAAGGAUAACGUCGAGUUUAAACUGAAUUUACUAUCCUACUUGAGGUUAUACUCUUAAAGAAUUUGAGUUGCUCUACAACUCUUGAAAUCGUAGAAGAUUGAUUUUUACCAAAACGCGUUUUAAUGACUUAUUUGUAAAAAUCUAUCUUUUGAAAGAGUCCUAAUUAGUGUUGAAUUAGAAUCAAAGGUUUCUAGGUUAAACACUUAGAAUCAUAUAAAUAAACCUCAAGUUCUUCACGAAAGUUUUAUCAGACUGAUUAGCAUUAAUUUGGGGCUUUCAGGUAUCGCCUUAAAGUCCUAAUUUUUAAGAGUUUGUUCCUGUUCCCAUAUAGAGCAGUAUUUGUUACUUGGUUUUAUAUCUUGCGUUUGUUUUAGUCAAUACCUAAUCUUUACGAUUAAAGUGUUGAGUUAUUGUAUGAUAAGCCUGAGUCAGGCUUACUUGAGCAAGAGAGAAGAUCUCACGAGAGAUCUAUGAGGUGAAGCAGUUGAGGGACUGUUUCCAUAAGGGGAGGAACAACAAGGGGUUGUUCCUAGUUAUCUGUAAUCAGAGGCGAUUCACAGAUUGUGGCCCGAGUAGAUUAGGUUUGUAAAAACUGGGUUGUUUUGCCUAAUUAGUGAAUGUGUUUAAGUCCCCAAAGGGGCCGUGGUUUUUUUUCUCUCUAUUGGGCCUAGAGAGUUUUCCACGCUAAAUCUUGCUUGCAUAUUUUACUGUUUCUGUUCCUAAUCGUUUAAUUUUUAUAAAACCGUAAAAUAUCAAUUCACCCCCCCUCUUGAGGAACUCUGUGAAACUAACAAUUGGUAUCAGAGCCAGAACCCUUUAACUGCAGGUAACUCUGACGGGAGAAACGAUUCUAGAAUUAUGAACACUACGGAGAAACUGGAAGAGGGGUACUCAACACAACGACCUCCAAUGUUUAGUGGCAAAUACUACUCUUAUUGGAGAAACAAGAUGGAGAUUUUCAUCAAGGCUGAAAACUAUCAAGUAUAGAGAGUUAUCGAAAUAGGAGACUUCCAAGUCACUAAGCUGAAUACCUCUGGGGAAACUGUUCCCAAGCCGAUUGCAGAAUUUGACAAAGCUGACUAUGAAUAGCUUGAACUCAAUGCCAUGGCUGUCAAAAUUCUACAUUGUGGACUAGGUCCAAACGAGCACAAUAGAGUAAUGGGCUGCAAGAAUGCGAAACAGAUUUGGGAUCUGCUCCAAGUCACCCAUGAAGGAACAAACAAAGUCAAGAGAUCAAAGAUUGAUCUCUUAAUCCACCAGUAUGAGUUGUUCACCAUGAAAUCUUCUGAAACAAUUCAAGACAUGAUUACUCGCUUCACAAGCAUCAUCAAUGAAUUGAAUUCCCUUGGAAAAAUCAUAACUCCCGAGGAACAAGUUAGAAAGGUUCUAAGAAGUCUUCCACUGGAUCCUUGGAUGGCCAAGGUCACUGCACUUCAGGAAACUAAAGACUUCACCAAGUUUAACCUGGAACAACUGGCUGGAUCUCUCUUAACCCAUGAAUUACAAUUGAAUGCAAGACCCUCAGAGAAUACCAAAAAUAGAGCCCUUGCUCUAAAAACUGAAAAUGAUGAAAACUCUGAAGAAGACGAGGAGACAACCCUAUUUUCUAGAAGAUUCAGAAGAAUGUUCAGAAACUACAAAGAAGGAGACCACAGAAGCAAACUAAAUCGAAAAUUCUCCAAAACUGACACUGGAUGCCAUAAGUGUGGGAACCUGGAACAUCGCAUUAGGGAAUUUCUCUCUGGGAACAAGAACGAGGAAAAGGAAAGGAAACAGGAAUAGAUAGAUUCAAAGACAACAAGAACUCCUUCUCCAAAACUGAGGUAAGGAAAGCCAUGAUUGCUGCAUGGGGAGACUCUUCUUCAGAUGAGGAACAGGAACAACUGUAGACACCUACUUUUGUCCCCAUUCCCGCAAGGGAAAGGUUCGAUGAUGAAAGCAUAAAAACUCCACUUGACAACGCAUCUCCUAUAAAAUAAACGAAUCUCGAUUCCCCAUUUCAUUUUACCCGAAACCUGCUAUUUAUGGAAACCUGCUAAAAAUAGCAACUGCCGUAAAAGGUAGCUUCUAAAAGUGGCAAAUCAUAAAAGAUAGAAACCUGUCAGAAUUAGGUGUUGCACUCCAACAUAAAUCCUAAAUGAGAUAGAAAACCGCGAGAAUCCUAUUCCUAAUAGGAUUCGGAAAUAAGAGUUACGUAUUAAUUAAAAUCCUAACAAACCUAGAGUUCGUAAUGGGCCCAGACGCAUUCUGUCACAAAAUUGAUACGCGCUAAAAGACUCGAAUUAAUCUCAAACUCUACGGAUUUUAGGAAUCCGAAUCUGACUAAACAAAACUGCCCAGACCCUAUUUUCAACGCCUGGCUCUGGGCGCCGAAAUCUUCGGCGCCCAGGCCUGGGCGCUGAAAAUACCUGGGUACGUCUCUUUUCCUAAUUCUUUAUGGAUUAGAACUCUGCAAUUCUAUCUUUUCACGAACUCUUCCCUAUAAAUAGGCCCCUAGUUUCGACGUGAAACAACACACAACAACACAUAAUAUAUUCCGAGUAUUGACUCAAAACCCCUUAGCCUAAGCCUCUCGCUGCGAAACUGUUCACGCGUUCUGUCGCAAUCGAUCCAUAAAUCGAACAGAACGUAUCCUGUCCCAUAAUCGAGAUUCGUUAAAUAAAAAGGAGAAAUAGCAAAGUCAAAGUGGUUAGUUUUCUGAGAACCGUGACGCACCUCUCAAGGGUGCGUCGUAAUGUGUCCCUUUUCGAUGAUUUAACCGCUUUCCUCACCCUUUUUAUGAACUGUUAAACUAACCUAAUAUGAUUGUUCUAUCACGCCUAACAAAUAUAAUAUCUUUGGGAAAUCGGAUUAUCAUGCUAGAUCCCUUAAUGUUAUUUAAAUCAGAUAAUCACGAUCGAAUUAGUAUUAUAUGUUGCAUAUUGCUAAAAUCAACUCAGAUUAGUUUAAUAGUUAACGCAUGUCCCUUCAAUUAUUUAUGCUGAGCUAGUAAGGAUAUCCUGCCUCUGGAGUUAUCGACGAGCGAAUUACUCCUCUCGGUAGUUACAGUCCCCCGAACCCUCAAUCUCUACCUUGCGGGUGUAUAUUGAGAGAUCCCCACACCAAGGAUCACAAGGGAACCUACGACCAUCGUGGUCAAACAUAAUUGCACUCCCUUUAUGUCGCGAUAACCGGGUUUUGUCAGUUUUUCUCAUUGUCGUUAAAAACUGAAUGGCGACUCCUAUAUUACUAGUCAAUUGGGUGUAUACUCACAGGAAAUCCAAUUACACUUGAUUGAAUAAAAAGAAUCGUCACACCCACGAGGGACAAGGUCACGCAUUAGCCUCGCGCUUUUUCGACCCCCUCACAGUGGCGACUCCGCUGGGGAUAGUGAAGGAAAUACUCGUGCCUGUAGGUAAUCAAAAUAGCUGAAGGGUGAAACGAUCCUACCCCGCGUUUAUUUCCCCAUCAAGUUGGGACGACCUGAAAAUCAGCAUAUUAAUGUGAACGGGCAGAACAUCAUAACGAAUCUCGGCUCCCUCGGGAGUUGGGACUAAGGAUACCUUUUUUCGCCAAUAGGGGGGGUGCAUACGCCGCGCAUGUUUCCACUCGGUACUUGUGCAGGUAGUACACCUAUCCCGAACCCAAUCGCUCGCCCAUUAGGUCCCUCUCGCCUGCAUGCCCCCUUGGCUUGCACUUGCGGUUUUGGCCUCUUGAGCGAAAUUCGUCUGUUGAAGACACUACCUCGACCGGGGCAUGUGUUGGAUCUACGAUAGAAGCGGUACCAAGCCAGGCACAAAUAUUACCCAUAGAAGCCUAUCAUAAACUACGUGGCAUAUUUAAUUUUCAAAUCCAUGUUUGUAAUGUAGUUAUGUGUAGCGAAAAUGUGCUUGUGUGUGACAAACUAUCCUAGAAAACCAACGACCUUAAAAACUGCCCAAACAUUCAUAGACUAAUUUGCCAAAGAGUUAUACCGAAAUACGUGUUCCGCAAACCCGAAUGAUCGCCACAAAAUAAGCGACGCUCGGGAUGGCCUGUAACGAAUCCCACAAACGCUGUUACGCGUAAAGGACGAUUAUUAGGCAAACACGCAAAUCGAAGUCGCAUAAACAGAAAACAGAAAACGAGAACCGGCCAGGGACGCAUUUUCAACGCCCCUGGCUGGGCGCCAAAAUUUCUCACGCCCACUGCUGGGCGCUUAAGUUGUUGCUUGGCUUUCUGGUCAGGCGCUGCAGCUUCGGUGCCCAAGCAAAAAGAAAGUACGUAGCACAAAAAAAAUGUUCAUCAAAAAGAAUUGCUACGAGGGCGUAAGAAAAGCACUUGAUUUCAAAAGGCGACUCGCGAAAAAUUAAUAACUCUUUGUGUCGUCGUUAGGCCUCCUACGACGGCAAUGCUCAGCACCAAAACCGAACAUGCUAACAACUAUGAAUGUCACACAGACAAGUGUUUCGAAAAUCCAAAGAAUGACCAAAAUAGAAAAAAAAAACUCCCAAAAAGUGUACCGACAGAAGAAAGAGCGAAAAAGUGAAAAACCAAUUUAGAGAGUCGAAGUCUAGACUAAGUAAUGCUUGAAACUUUGGGAACCUAAACUUUAGCUUAUCUUAUGCCUAGGACCGGUCCUGCCACUUGGUGCUGAUCAGGGAAUCAACGGCUAGUGCGUCUCGAAGAUACAUCACCAACAUCAGGUUUAGUAACUCCAAGCUCCGUCCGUCGUCCCUCAUUUCAAGGAUCUCCGCUUCCCCAACCUCGAUUCGCACCUCCAAACAUGUCCAUCGAAGAUUUGCGAGACCAGAUGGUCCAAAUGACCCAACUCAUGGGCCAACUGAAAAUGGAAAAUGAAGCCUUAGCGGCUGCGCAAGCCAAAAAUGACCUCGAAAACGAGAAGAGGAUUGAAAAAAUGGUCCUACAGCAAACCAUGGGGAGAAAAUACUUCUCCCUCGAGCCUGAACCUUUUUCCGGCAAAUUACCAGAAAAGUUCAGUUCAUCUGACUUACCAAAGUUCAAGGCCACGGAUAACCCCCGUGAUCAUCUAUUGAGCUUUGUGAAUACCAUGAACUUGAAAGGCGUGGACAAGUCCAUGUACCUACCUGUCUUUCCUUUGUCCUUGGAACCUGUGCCGCUCAAAUGGUACUAUCACACGGACCCUAAGCUCUUCCCCACUUAGGAAGACUUUGUCAAUGUCUUCAUCAAGCAAUACUCGUCGAACAUAGAUUUCCAAGUCACCAUGCGCGAGCUGGAAGUUCUCUUCCAAAAGAAAAAUGAGGGUUUCACAACCUACUUUGCUAGAUGGAGGGACCAGGCGGCCCAGCUAAUCAAUAGGCCUCCCGAAACAGAAUUGGUCCAAAAAUUCAUUGGCAACUUGGACCCGGCUUACAGACAACACCUUAGGUACCUGGGACUCGACACUUUCAAAAGGGUUUAUGAUGUGGGAAUAAAAAUCGAGGACGACCUCGCCAAAACCAUACAGAGCAAACCUGCAUAUAAGACCAACACCUAUAAUCGGGGUAACACACCCCAAGCCCAAGAAGUCCAUGCUGUAGAAGAGGCUCCCGCCCGAAGAUACCCUGUAAGAUGGGUCCGAGACCGAAAGUUUGCCCCACUCGGGUCAACUUUGGUACAAGCCUUUGAAAGACUAACCAAUCAAGGAAAGUUGAGACCUAUAGGCCCCACCCGUGACCCUCCUGUCAAAAACAAAUAUUGGGUCGAAGGUACUUACUGCAAAUUCCAUCAAGGAAAUGGGCAUGACACUGAAAACUGCUGGAAUCUAAAACAUACGAUCCAGGACAUGAUAGAGGAUGAAGUAAUACCUCUCCCUAACGUUGGCAAACCCAACAACAACAAGAGCCCACUCGGCUCUUGUCACAUCUCUCUCGACCAACCAGAGAAUUUCGACCCCACGGUGUAUAUUACACCUCAAGGUGCAUCACUCGCUGUGGUACCUAUGGAUCGAAUCGAGAGGGAAGUGUGCGGUGUGUGGAACGAUGAUGCUGAAGAUAUUUACCUAUCUCAAGUCUCGGGCCAGGACCUCUUCACUGAAACUUGGCCCGGGUAUGCUCUCAUUGACACCACCCCUCAGGAGCCCGAGGUCGACAACCUCACCCGAUCCGGAAGGAUAUACCAACCGGAUAUUCACCCACCUCCUAUGGACGACAUCCCGGUUAGGCAAACUCCUGAGAACGGGCGGCACGCCACCGUCGCAGAAGUCAUUGAAAAUCCUCUCCUGAAACAACUAAAAAGAACCAAGGCUGAGAUUACCAUCUGGGAUCUUAUGUGUACUUCAAAGGAACAUCGCGAAAAGCUUAUUCGCUCACUUGACCUCAUCUCAGUACCCACAGAUAUCACACCUGACUCAUUGGUUAGCCAUGUCACGAGAGAUGCCGGAGAAAAGCCAUAGUUUUCACUGAUAAAGACUUACCCAAAGAGGGAGGUGCUCACAAUAAAGCCCUUUACUUAGUGGUUGGAUGCAAAGGACAAACAUCCCCCUAGCACUCGUAGAUAAUGGUUCGGCGGUUAAUGUCUGCCCAUUGCGAACCGCCCAUUGCUUUCCAAACCUCCUCACAAGGGGUACGAGCUUAUGAUAACUCCCGAAGGCCCGUAUUGGGAAAAAUCAACCUUACCAUACAAACCGGGCCUGUGGCACGCACCACGGAGUUUCAGAUUAUCGACAUCAAGCCCACUUUCAACCUCCUCUUGGGGCGACCUUGGCUCCAUGACUUAGGAGGUGUGGCUUCGACCUUGCACCAAAUGGUUAAAGUUAACCAUAACGGGGUAAUACUGGAAAUCCGCGCCCCUCCUCUCGACGUCAGUUGUACUAUGGUUGGAACGGCCGAAACUGCAGAUGACCUUUAUGGGUUUCAAAUGGAAGAAGCAAUGCAGUUCAUAGAAGAUUAUGAUCCAGCAUUCCUAGACCCGCAUGCAUCCCGAGCCAUCCCUAGAAUGAUGUUGGCUCAAGGUUAUUUCCCAGGAACCCCAUUGGGCAUAAGGAAGAAAGAAUGCACAUUCCAUCCUUUUCCCGACAAAUCUACUCCCUUUGGCUUAGGUUAUGAAGCAACGGAGGAAGAUAUUGCUGACCGCCUAUCUAGGCUACGCCUUAACAAAGCCAAACAAACCACCCUCCUUCCCCCAUAUCAAAGGACCCUUAACGGGAUGUUUGUUCGGGAAGGAGAAGAACACCCAUGCUGUGAUUUACCUGAACCCUUCGUUCAGGAUGGCUUGCUAAAACCCGGAUUUGAAAUUUUCCAUGACUGCCACACCUUGGAUGAGGCACCCCACCUCACCAAGACUAAAACAGCUGAAAUAUUGGACAACCAGGCUCUAUGGACAUUGUUUAACGAAUCGAGGCCUAUGGAGAACGAGACCGUGAUGACUACCCUAGCUUUACAAGAUGAAGGUUUCGAUCCAACCCGGUUAAUCUCCCCUGCAUCAACACUAGAAGAGGUCGGGAACGGAUGGGUGAAGACAUAUCAGUGGGUCAACGCAAAAGGAAUGGAAUUCAAGAUGAGUACCGGUGAAGGACCAAAGUUUUAUGAGACUAAACCCCAGGCUUGAGCCACAUAGAGCACCAUUAGUAAAAAGCGUCUAGUAGUUCUUUAGAUUGAUAGAAAAAUAAUAGAGACUUUAGAUGGUCUUAAGGCCCUUUAGAAUAUGGGUCAGUUUUAUUUCAUUGUGUUUUCCUUACUUUCCAAAUCAAUAAAGGCGUAAUAUUUCUCCUAAUUUUUUUAUUCUAACACUAAAUAAACACCAAAUGUACUUGCAAAAUAAAAAAUAAAGAAGCGGCCCACUAUAGGCCCAACAAACAAAGCCCACUCGGUUUUGAAAUAAUGCCAUGUGAACCAGUUCUCGAAACCCACAAAAUAAACCACACUAUCCCAUCUUCAAAACCUAAAAAGCCAACCAAUGUCAUCAUGAGAGCCAAUCCAUGCAACCCAAAAUCAAAAAGAAAUCAAAAAUUUAAAACAAAUGCAAAUGUUACCAAAAAAAUAAAUUCAUAAAACAUAGAAUCCACCGACAGCUGUUUCACAUAGAUUCCAUCACACCCUCCACAAAGAUCUUCAUAAGUUCCGCACCCUAACUCCAUUUUCAAAACUGUUUUGAGUCACUAAUAGAAAAAAUUAAUCUGGACAAAAAUGCGUUUCACGCUAACAGUCAAAAAAGCCUCCAAAAUAGCCUCAAAAUUAACUUUAACUACAAAGCAAAAUAUCAAGACACAAAAAACGAAAUAGAAAUAAACGCAAGAACAUGUGAAGCAAAAACGUCAAAAUUGACCGCCCAAGUUAUUUUCAGCGCCCAGGGCUGGGCGCCGAAAUUUCUGACGCCCCAGCCUGGGCGUUGAAACUCUCUGCCUGCCAAAAGUUUUCCUUUUUCUGAAAAGUGCUCGUCAUUUUAUCCGCACACAACGGAAAAAUAACGAACACUUGGGGGGUACAGUACGUAUCCAAAUAGGUUUACCAACAAAUUGGUCGAAUUUUACGCAACCUAUGGAAAACGGCCGAUGAAAAUAAUGGCAAACACUUCACUCAUUUGACCGAUUAAAUAAUAUGUUUCCACUUUGGGACAUAUCUACCGAAAUUCGGCAUACGAGAACUUAUUCUAAAGCUAAGAACUACGCGCGACCUGAUUCUGACAAGAUACGUAGGCAAUCCUUACCAAGGAUUCGGUCCAAAUAAUAAUAAAAAAUUAUAUUCUUUGUGUAAAAAAGUGUUAGAUAUAUAAACAAAAUUGAAUGGAAACUAAAAAUACGCCUUUAUUAAAAUAUAAUAAGAAGGAAAACAAAGUGCUAGGAAUAAAAACAAACACAACUGAAAUAAAUAGAGGGCACCUACACCCUAGCAAAGAACUACACUACUCUAGUUCUUCCGGAUCAUCAAAUAAAGUCUUGAAGAGAGCAAUGUUCGCAGGAUCCACCCCCAUAGUCUUCUGCGCUGCCCCAAUAUCAAUCUCCAUAAGAACUGACUCCUGGACACUAACUUCCAAAGAUGCCAAAGCUUUAGAAACAUUCUCAGUUAUAGCCCGCUCAGCCUCAAGGGCACAAACAGUGGUGGGAGAAGGAUUACUAUCAUCAACUGGACUAGCCACUGUUUCUACAGGCGGCUGAGCCUUCCUAACCCAUACAUUGUUCCGGCGACGAUCUCCGCGUGAUCUUGCAUUUCUUUUAACAACAGCAGGCCCCUUCAUGUUAGGCAUCUUUUUAGGCCUGACACUGGAACGGGGAAGAACUUCCUUUCGCUUUCGAUCAGGACGAGCUUUCACAGUCUUAAAACUAUAGGUACGAGGUCUGGCGGAAUCAGGACCCUCAUACUUAACACGAAUACGAGGUAUCAAAAGCUCACCCGGCUCCCCAUUACGAGCCUCGGUCCUCACAUCCUUGUCAUCGAAACUCAUCCACAAUUUAUAGUUUUCAGAAAGACCCACAAACCCAUUGGUAGCUACAGCCCAACGCGGGAGACCAUCAUAAUACCUAGCCCACGCUAAGACCCGUGUUUGUGCAAAGGUCGCUACCUUAGGUGGUACCGUAUCAGAAAAAGGGAUAGUCUGCCUUAAACCAUAUUGACGCAUGACUCGGUAAGGGAAAAUAUAAAUGGGACAAGACGGCCCCAACAAAGAAACAUAAACCGAUACAUCAGACCCCCCUGUCAUAGUAGUCAAACCCCACCAUGGUACCACCCACUUAAUAGAACAAAUGCCAUAAGUAAAAAAGGAGGUCCAUUCGGCCUCGUCCUGGCCUUGGUGCAAGUAUUUUCGGUUACCCAAAGCUAUAGGGCGAUAAUGUUUAGGAUCGGCAGGAGCUUCCAAAAGUCUAAGCCGUUGCGCGAGCCAAAUCUGCAAAAACAGGUACGAUCGAAUCAUGUUCCUGGGGCGCAGUUUCAACGCCCUGGACCAGGCGCCGAAUAUUCCAGCGCCCAGCCCUGGGCGCUGAAACUCAGCCCCAGGCAAAAAAAUAUAUAAAAGUGGCGUAUGUGUGCGCAAAGAAAAAAAAUAGAUUACCUGCAGUAAUAGGGGGCUUCCCUUAAAAGUUUCGGAUUUGGCAUCCUUCUUCAGCUCAUCCGCACUCAGCAAAGUCUCAGCAACAACCAACGACAUAAUAGAAUAGCAACUUUCCAUCUGGCUAAUCAAGGGGAUCAGCCUUAUGUCACCGAACUCACCAUUAUUAUUCGACAGCAAAUAAUGAUUCAACAAGCAAAAUACAAGGGCUCGAAUGUUCAAUUUUUGUUCGGUCAUAUUCUUACUAGGCCUAAAAUGAUGUUUUACGAGUUUUGCCAAGUUAACCUUAUCGUCUACAACAAGUUCAGCAAACAUGUUAUCAUGUAGCCCUAGGAAAGCCCUUAUGGUUGUUUUACCCUCUUCAAUAGUGCCAGGGGUAACAGGAGUAGCAUUAGUAGGAUAACCAAGGAUCGCAGCAAAUUCAUCAGGCAAAGGACAUAUUUCAUUGCCCCGAAAGGAAAAAACAUGAUGAUCGGAGUCCCAAAAGUUUAGGGCAGCAUGUAGAAAAUUAUAAUCAAUAUUAAUUUGUUGUAAGCCUAAAAGUGCCUCUAAGUGGUAUUCUUUUAACAAAGCUUUUUCUGUGGGAGUAAGGGCUCGUAGCCAACGCCUAACAGUCCGUUGGAGUGAGAAAGUAGGGAUCGACAUGGCAAAAGUAGUAAAUAAUCAGAGCACAGCAAAAAAGAGAGAAAGAAUUUGAGAGUGGUGGAAAAUAAGGACGUACCUAGCCCCCUAUAUAUAGCUGAACGCACCCAAUAAACAUCCUGAUCCCAUUCGGAAACGUGUUUAGAAAUCCGAAAAUCAAAUAUUACCAGGAAAGAACUUUCAGCGCCCACCUCUGGUCACCGAAAUUUUUAACGCCUGAGCUGGGGCACUGAAAAUGCAGCCCAAGGCCCAGAUUUCACAAAAACACGGAAUAGGAAAGGACUUAAGACCGUGUUGCUAAAACACGAGGCCCUAUUACAAGUAAGAUCAAGCCCAAAGCACCUUUAGCUCCCAAAUAAGCAAAAAAUAAUAAUAACAUUGAAACUUGGUCGAAACUUAGACUCAUCUCAGAAAACGCUCAUGUACACUUUUCAAAAGCAAGUUAAAUAUCAUGGUCAUUCUUCGAAACACCAAAAAUAUGUGUCGUCAAGUCAUUGGUUUUCCAAAUAGAAAAUGUCUGUCUGUCAAAGGGAUAAUCCGGGCCAAGCCAAAACCGGAUGUCGCCUGAAAGCUAGAGUCGCACUCCACGGCUUCAAUAAAAUAGCACACUACUAUAGGAGGUCGCUCGCACAUACGAGCGUGACCCCAAACAUGAUUACAAGACGCGAAAAACAACCGACGAGCCCCAACACUUGGGGUCUCGCGAAAAGUGGACUCCAACAAAGAGCACGCAAUCAAAAACACAUUCCCAGACUGCGCCACGCACCAGAUCAUGUUUGGAUAUCUAAAAAAAUAUAUUGUGUGGACCCACUUAUAGGACACAUCUAAUCAGGAAAUAUUACGACCCACCAACAAGUUGUAAUCACAAAAGCCCUUCUACAUAGGCAAAAUAAGAAAUUAAAAAUGGGCUCGCCCAUUUUCGGCCGGCGGGGUCUACGGCGCAAACCACAUAGGUCCUUAUUUUCAAAAAAACAAACAAAAUAAAAUUUCAAAACAGAUUCGUCCACUUCUAUCGGACGGGGGGUCCACCCUCAGCGGACAGGCUCGCCAUCUUCAGCCGGCGGGGUAUACGUCACAAACCGCGUAGGUCCUUAUUUUCAAAAACAUCAAAACAGAUUCGUCCACUUCUAUCGGACAGGGGGUCCACCCUCAGCGGACAGGCUCGCCCACCUUCAGCGGGCGGGGUCUGCGUCACUAACAGCGCAGGUCCUUAGUCGCUGCAGCGAUAACUUUUAUCGGUUUUCCCUUUUUCCGAAAAUCAAAGGAUCGGUUUUCCCUUUUUCCGAAAAUCAAAGGAUCGGUUUUCCCUUUUUCCGAAAAUCAAAGGAUCGGUUUUCCCUUUUUCCGAAAAUUAAAGGAUCGGUUUUCCCUUUUUCCGAAAAUUAAAGGAUUGGUUUUCCCUUUUUCCAAAAAUUAAAGGAUUGGUUUUUCGUUUUUCCUAAAAAGAACGAUUGCUGGAUUUUCCUUCGUUUUACGUCCUAUAAAAACAAGGGGGUUUUCUCGUUUAGCUAGCCCAGAAAAUGAGAAUCUUUAAAAACGUUUUACCUCGUGAUUGGGCUUGGCCAGGCCCAAUUACACUUUACAGCUUUAAUUUCGAAAACAUUUGUAGCUACUCCCAAUGACAAAGUGAGGGAGUUUCUACGCACCUUUAGAUUCUUCCAAUGACAAAGUGAGGAAGUUUUUAUACUAUCAGUUGACAAAUCCCAAUGACACGUGAGGGAUAUGUCGACACUUCAAGUGAUGACCCUUAAGUCAAAUGUUAUCCCUCGGGGGCUCGUGAGACCCUCGCAAAACAGGUCACAUACACCAUGGCUUGUGUGACGCACUCCGUCUAAUAAUUUGACCAUCGUCUUACUCCAAGACUCAGUCAAAGUGGGGGCUAACUGUAGACACCUACUUUUGUCCCCAUUCCCGCAAGGGAAAGGUUCGAUGAUGAAAGCAUAAAAACUCCACUUGACAACGCAUCUCCUAUAAAAUAAACGAAUAUCGAUUCCCCAUUUCAUUUUACCCGAAACCUGCUAUUUAUGGAAACCUGCUAAAAAUAGCAACUGCCGUAAAAGGUAGCUUCUAAAAGUGGCAAAUCAUAAAAGAUAGAAACCUGUCAGAAUUAGGUGUUGCACUCCAACAUAAAUCCUAAAUGAGAUAGAAAACCGCGAGAAUCCUAUUCCUAAUAGGAUUCGGAAAUAAGAGUUACGUAUUAAUUAAAAUCCUAACGAACCUAGAGUUCGUAAUGGGCCCAGACGCAUUCCGUCACAAAAUUGAUAUGCGCUAAAAGACUCGAAUUAAUCUCAAACUCUACGGAUUUUAGGAAUCCGAAUCUGACUAAACAAAACUGCCCAGACCCUAUUUUCAACGCCUGGCUCUGGGCGCUGAAAAUACCUGGGUACGUCUCUUUUCCUAAUUCUUUAUGGAUUAGAACUCUGCAAUUCUAUCUUUCCACGAACUCUUCCCUAUAAAUAGGCCCUAGUUUCGACGUGAAACAACACACAACAACACAUAAUAUAUUCUGAGUAUUGAUUCAAAACCCCUUAGCCUAAGCCUCUCGCUGCGAAACUGUUCACGCGUUCUAUCGCAAUCGAUCCAUAAAUCGAACAGAACGUAUCCUGUCCCAUAAUCGAGAUUCGUUAAAUAAAAAGGAGAAAUAGCAAAGUCAAAGUGGUUAGUUUCACUACUACAAAAUAGGGAAUAGAAAACGCCAAAUAGAGAACAGUUAAGUAUGCUAAACGUUUUAUAGGAGUAUAGAGAACGCAUUUUUCUCAUAACAGUUGUACGAAGAAAAGAAUAGAGAACUGUUACCUUACUUAACCGCCUUAUAUUCUUUACCAUGACAAAAAAAAAUUAAUUAAAUUAAAAUACUCAGUAAAAUAUAAAGUUGUGUUUAACAUAACUGUUUUGUAUUCUUUUACGUACAAAACUAUCUUACAAUAAAAAAAAACUUUAAUUUAAAACUUUUUUUUUAUUGAGUAAAACAUUAUUUUGCAAAUAAUUAUCCUUGAUCACUUAACAAAAUUAAACAAUUUUUUAAAGAACUACGGAGUAUAUUUUACCAAGGUAGGCGGCAAUUGAAUUCUAAAAUUUAGAGAGUUGCGCCAGAUCCAAAAAGUGUUCCAAAACCCUUAACAUUCUAUACUGAAACCAUUGUACUCACGCAAAAACUCCCGAAAAAACCCACAGAAGCAGUUAGACAUCCACCACCGUCGCUACACAUCUGCACCACCGCUCCAUUGCGCCGUCCGCCUUCUGUCUACUUCCGACCUUCGCUGAGCGCUGGCUUCCCAAUUCUGAGGUUAGUGUGGUUAAUUUUGGUUUUUCAUAAUAUUAAUUCAACUAAUAACCUAGGAUUAUGAAUUAAAGAAUUAUAGCUUGUUAAUUGCAAAAAUAAAAGAGUAAGUAAUUCUUUUGGUCGAAUUAUAGUCGAAUUGCUUGAUGAAUUGCUGUAGAAUUGCUUGAUGAUUUCUUGACGAAUUGCUUGAUGAAUUGCUGUAGAAUUGCUUGACGAAUUGCAUGACGAAUUUCUGUAUAUUUGUUGUCGAAUUGCUUGAUGAAUUGUUGAAGAAUUGCUUUAAGCCUGUGGAGAAAGAUGAUUUAUCCGCCCUGGUAAUAUAAAGGUUAAUGGAUUGAAAAUACAGAAACAAGAAACACAUAUUGAUGAGCCCGCUUUUUGAAGUUGUAAUUAUUGCUGGUAGUGAUCGAUUAACUUGGAAAAAUCACGAAAUACAUCUUCAUUUUUAACAUCCUUCAACCUUACCACUCAACAAAAGGAAAGAAGCUUCUUCUAGAUUACAUAUUAUAGAGUAAACCAUGUUAUUUGCCUGAUCACGAAACAACGAAUAUGUCAUCAGUACUCAAGCAAAUUCAAUGUAAUAAUCCACCGGUAGGACAGAUGAAACAUAAAUUUAUGAUUAGAAUUAGAGAAAAGGGAAGAGCAAAGAAACAUUGUAUCAGAUCUCUAAUUCAAGAGAUAUGUAGAUAAAUGGAAAUAGAAUAACCAUUGCUAGAAGACUGAAUUAAAUCUACCUAUAAUCAAGUUUGGGAGUACUGAGGUUGAAAUCAAAAUAAAAAACGAACAAGGAAAAAUCUGUAAAACAAGAGAGAUUAACUUAAUGAGGCAGAAGAAAUAAAAGAGAGAAAGCAGUUAGAUGAUCCUAACCCAAAGUGGAGUAGAUGUGGGCGGCGGCUAGUGGGGGUAGGUUAUCUAGGGUAUACUCCAUUUUUUACAUAAGAUGGUGAAAAUUUUAAUUCAAAAGGUAUUGUAUGAAAAUGUAGUAGAGGGCGGGAAUAUUUAGCUAAAACAUACGAAACGGUUGGCAUGUUCACCGUUAUAUAUUCUUAUUAUAUUUAUUAACUUAAUUAUUUUUUAUUAUGGUAAAAACCAACAAAGCGCCUAUCUAAGAAGGACGCUCUGUAUUGUCUCACUCACAUAACUGUUGUGAGCGACAACCGUUCUAUAUAAUUCUAUAAAGCGCUUAAUAUAUUUAGCCGUUCUAUAUCUAGCGUUACAUAUUCUUAUUUUUGUAGUAGUGCUAUAAUAUUUCCUUAUAUCGCUUUUGAAUUUUAUACUAAACAGAAUCAGAAAAGAACCCUAGUUAAGUAAUCUGGUCCAACUCUCGAAUGAAGGUGCAACUUUUAAGAUUGGCGAACUAAUAUACAUCUUCAUUUUUAAACUGCUUGAUUCAAUGUUGCAUGCACAUGUAAAACAUGAUAGUCAGGCCUUGGAGGUGAUUCUAGCCCUCAUGAGGGAUGCAAGUUCUGCUGACUGUUUCUGCUACUGUGAGUGUCAUCUUUCUCAUAUUCCUCAUGAUCUAUUACCUUUAAGCCAGAGUCAUCUUGCCCAUCCCCUGCACCCUCUACCAUAUUUUGUUUUUCUACAGGCUCAACCUUUGGCUGAUCAUCGGCUGGUUCUAGUUCGCCAGUGAUGGUCGAUUAUUUCACUCUUUCUGCUGCAGGUUCCUAUAUUCAGAUGCUAAUGUUCCUUGGAAAGAACUGUCUAGUACUUUCAAGCAACCUGUCCAGACAACACAGACAAUAGAGAAAAGGAAGAGCUUUUGGUUUCACUCAAAGGUGUUCGGAAAGAAAACAAGAGCAGCUUGACGUUAUUAAUCUCCACUAGUGCCUUUAGGUCAACAAAUCUAAAUCUCACAAAUUCACUACAAAUUGUCAAAUUACAUGCCUUUCUUCUUUCAUUCUUUCUCUACUUAUACUACUGUCUAGUAUAAUGUUUUAAUGACUAUUUGUGUUGUAAUAGUAACGGCUCGUGUGCACUCCUUGCCACCUACUGCUCUUGUUGUUUCUUUGUUGUUUGUUGGUGGUCUGCCCCUGCUGUCAGCCUUUGGGCCUCUCUUGGGUCGCCUACGAUACACAAUGGGGUCAUAACACUAUUGUUGUCAUUAUCCCAAUCGUUGGGUCUAUCACUUAUCAUAGUCAUAAUAGCUACAUUAUUCAUUUUACAGAGGAAGAAGCAGAAAAAGUCUGCUACAAACCUUAACAAGGAAGAAAUUGAAACACUCCAGUCCUUACAGUAUAAUCUUGGAACCGUCAAGGUUGCAACAAACGGUUUUUCUGAUGACAAUUAUCUCAGAGAAGGUAGAUUCGGCACAGUUUAUAAGCACUGUCAAGAUGGAUGUUUACUGCUUCGAAGGAGAUUAAAAAAGAAAGGGGCGUUAACCCAACUGACCUUGAGGAGAAUCUUGCUCAGGUAUAUUCUGAAAAUUGUAUUGUCAACUGAGAAUUAAUUGUUGGAAAAGCUGUGAAUGCACUUUUUUGUUCUUCUGUGUAGUCAAUAUUUGACCUUGAGACCAACAACAAGGAUAUGGGAACUGAAUUGAAGGAUCUGUUUAUCAACUCUGUUGCUGAGGUUGACAUUUCGAACAACAAGAAGGCUAUUGUUGUCCAUGUUCCAUACAGAUUGAGAAAAGCUAUAGCAAGGAAUUGCGGUGAAGAGGCUAUCAAGGAAUUCAGUUCAGGGAGACGUACUUACAGUUCAAAAAUGAAAUUCUGAUAUUAGCUAAGAUUCAGCACAGAAAUGUGGUGAAAAAAAAGGAUUCUGCUUGGAAGAAGAAGAAAUGCUUCUGAUUUAUGAGUUUGUGAUCAAUAAAGCCUUGACAAUUUUCUGUUUGGUACGUAGCAUUCCUGUAAAUACCAAAGGAAGAGAAAAAAGAAAGAAAUUAAGGCAUUAUGUAAAUAUUUAAAUUUUUUUUCCCUUUCCAUAUUAUAAACGCAUAGGAGUAUCUUGUAAAACAUACAUUGCUUUUAAAUAUAUUUAAUUUUUAGUAUUAUAUAA